rnacentral:rRNA from 1 species
CUCUCUGUGACUCCUACGGGAGGCAGCAGUGGGGAAUAUUGCACAAUGGGCGCAAGCCUGAUGCAGCAACGCCGCGUGAGCGAUGAAGGCCUUCGGGUCGUAAAGCUCUGUCCUCAAGGAAGAAUAAAUGACGGUACUUGAGGAGGAAGCCCCCGGCUAACUACGUGCCAGCAGCCGCGGUAAUACGUAGGGGCAAGCGUUAUCCGGAAUCACUGGGCGUAAAGGGGUGCGUAGGCGGUUUUCAAGUCAGAAGUGAAAGGCUAUGGCUCAACCAUAGUAAGCUUUUGAAACUGUUAAACUUGAGUGCAGGAGAGGAAAGUGGAAUUCCUAGUGUAGAGGUGAAAUUCGUAGAUAUUAGGAGGAACACCAGUGGCGAAGGCGACUUUCUGGACUGUAACUGACGCUGAGGCACGAAAGCGUGGGGAGCGAACAGGAUUAGAUACCCUGGUAG